AUUGAACGCUGGCAGCAGGCAUAACACAUGCAAGUCGAGCGAGCGGCGGACGGGUGAGGAAUGUCUGGGAAACUGCCUGAUGGAGGGGGAUAACUACUGGAAAAGGUAGCUAAUACCGCAUACCAUCAGAUGUGCCCAGAUGGGAUUAGCUAGUAGGUGGGGUAACGGCUCACCUAGGCGACGAUCCCUAGCUUGUCUGAGCGGAUGACCCGCCACACUGGAACUGAGCCACGGUCCAGACUCCUACGGGAGGCAGCAGUGGGGAAUAUUGCACAAUGGGCGCAAGCCUGAUGCAGCCAUGCCGCGUGUGUGAAGAAGGCCUUCGGGUUGUAAAGCACUUUCAGCGGGGAGGCGUUACCCGCAGAAGAAGCACCGGCUAACACCGUGCCAGCAGCCGCGGUAAUAC
rnacentral:rRNA from 1 species